rnacentral:rRNA from 1 species
GAUGACGCUGGCGGCAUGCCUAACACAUGCAAGUCGAGCGAGCGGCGGACGGGUGAGUAAUGUAUGGGGCUCUGCCCUAUAGAGGGGGAUAACUACUGGAAACGGUGGCUAAUACCGCAUACCAUCGGAUUCACCCAUAUUGGAUUCGCUAGUAGGUGGGGUAAAGGCUCACCUAGGCCACGAUCUCUAGCUGGUCUGAGAGGAUGAUCAGCCACACUGGGACGGAGACACGGCCCAGACUCCUACGGGAGGCAGCAGUGGGGAAUAUUGCACAAUGGGCGCAAGCCUGAUGCAGCCAUGCCGCGUGUAUGAAGAAGGCCUUAGGGUUGUAAAGUACUGUCAGCGGGGAGGCGUUACCCGCAGAAGAAGCAACGGCUAACUCCGUGCCAGCCGCCGCGGUAAUAC